rnacentral:lncRNA from 1 species
CUGAGUGUGAGGGUCAGUUUGUAGCCUGACUUUCAUACAGGAGGUCAGAGUUGAUGUUCUGUCACAGACCAACUACUGAUGUAGGUUUUUAAUUAAAAUCUUCACUUAAAAUACAAUAAAGUGGACACUUUGUCAUCAUCACCUUUAUAAAAUGAACAUUUGAUGCUUCAUGCUGCUCUUGUAAACAUGAACAUAAAGUCGACCCAAUGAAGCCGUCACAUGUUUUUAAGUUAUUAUGUAAAAUAUGUUAACUUAGUAAUAGUGAGCUGGGAGGAAGUUUGAGGUGAUGGAGGAGAAAUAAUACUGACUAUAAGGUGGACACAAGAUGAUAACUGAGGUAGAAAAUGAGGAAGAACUAACCUGGUGACCAAACUGAGAUCAUUAAACUGUUCUCUUCUUGAAAUGGUGAUAAAUGUGCUGCGUGCUGUUUCAAUACUUACAAAGUUUAUCUCUCUCUCUCUCUUUUUUUUUUUUUUUUUUUACAGUCCACUCACAAAGAAAUUCCAACAAUUCUCAAAACUAUCAGGGCGUUCCGCUCCAGGCUCAACAACCACCUCAGAAUCAAGAGAAAAAACAGUGGACCAAAACAUAAAGAAGAACAGAUCCUGUUGAAGGUGGUUGUGGACCAGGGCAACUGAACAGGAACAUCCAUUGUUCCACCAAGAAUUGAAGUAAAACACUCCAGUGAAAAAUAUAUAAAAGCUCAGAAAACAGAAUGUCCAAAGAUUUUGUCAACCGCAAGUGUUCUCUCUCAGGUUUAUCUUGCUAUUAGCUCAGUGUAGUUAAUCAGGCUGUAAGUGCUGCUGCUGCCUCUGAAUGAAGCCGUAAUGACGCCUCAGAGACAUUUAACUUCACUAUAACACCUGUUAAUAGAUUCACGUUAGCACAAACAUUGAACACAGCAAUGUUAUCUGUAAUAAGCACCUUUAAAUAGAAGAUAAUGCAUAUAUAUCUAUAUAUGUGAUUUAUAAAGGGUAUAUUGUGUAUAAGUGUGUGUGUUUGUGUGUGCAAUGUUUUAAAAUUUGAUGAUUAUUUUCUUACCUUUUGUGCACACGCACACUUUAACACACAUUCCCAUCACACACAAAAGCCCGAUGUUAGUGGGUUUAAGUGUUAAUGAGACCUCCGAGCUGGAGGAACCUCCAAUGACACUUUAUAAAGCUGAGUGGGAGCGUUACAGUUUCUCCAGAUGUAAACAGAGUUUCUGAAUAUCAUUCUAGAAACAAAAGUAUUGAGAAGGGAUGUCGUUUAGCUCAGUAGGUAGAGCAGCGUCCCAUGUACAGAGGCUUUGUCCUCACUGCAGUGGACCCAGGUUUGACUCCCGGCCCGGGGCCCUUUGCUGCGUGUUACUCCCCCCCUCUCUCUCUCUCACCCUGUUUCCUGUCACCUUCUUCAGCUGUGCUAUCAAUAAAGCCAUAAAGGCCAAAGAAAUACUUUUAAAAAAAUAUUGAUUAUAAUGUGCCUUAACACAUGAAUCCAUCCAUUGUUCCUGUCAUGUAUUUAUUCAUUCAGGGAUUAUAAACUGAAUGUAGACUGAUGCUAAAUAUGUGAUACUCACCAGGUUCUAUUGGAGUUUUGUUCUGCACUGCAAACAGUUUAAAAAAACCUAUUUGUGAAAAUUGCAUGUCUGUCCGUCCUGGAAGAGGGAUCCCUCCUCUGUGGCUCUUCCUGAGGUUUCUUCCAUUGUUUUUUUUACCCUGUUAAAAGGUUUUUUUUCCAUCAACAUGUGAAGUUUUUCCUCACUCGAAUCGAGGGUCUAAGGACAGAGGAUGUUGUUCACUGUACAGAUUGUAAAGCCCACUGAGGCAAUGUGAUUGUGAUUUUGGGCUAUAUAAAUAAAAUUGAUUUGAUUUGAUUUGAUUUGAAAAUGUUGUACAUUAAUUAAUUUCUUUAUAUCGUCACUGGGAUUUUUUUUUUAAAUAAAAAUAUUGAACUGUACUUUUCUCUGAGCUGUUCUUUUAAAAUUAAUAUCAU